rnacentral:rRNA from 1 species
UACGAAGGGGGCUAGCGUUGCUCGGAAUCACUGGGCGUAAAGGGCGCGUAGGCGGCGGUUUAAGUCGGGGGUGAAAGCCUGUGGCUCAACCACAGAAUGGCCUUCGAUACUGGGACGCUUGAGUAUCGUAGAGGUUGGUGGAACUGCGAGUGUAGAGGUGAAAUUCGUAGAUAUUCGCAAGAACACCGGUGGCGAAGGCGGCCAACUGGACCAUUACUGACGCUGAGGCGCGAAAGCGUGGGGAGCAAACAGG